GAUGAACGCUGGCGGCGUGCCUAAUACAUGCAAGUCGAGCGAACAGACGAGGAGCUUGCUCCUCUGACGUUAGCGGCGGACGGGUGAGUAACACGUGGAUAACCUACCUAUAAGACUGGGAUAACUUCGGGAAACCGGAGCUAAUACCGGAGAAUAUAUUGAACCGCAUGGUUCAAUAGUGAAAGACGGUUUUGCUGUCACUUAUAGAUGGAUCCGCGCCGCAUUAGCUAGUUGGUAAGGUAACGGCUUACCAAGGCAACGAUGCGUAGCCGACCUGAGAGGGUGAUCGGCCACACUGGAACUGAGACACGGUCCAGACUCCUACGGGAGGCAGCAGUAGGGAAUCUGCCGCAGUGGGCGAAAGCCUGACGGAGCAACGCCGCGUGAGUGAUGAAGGUCUUCGGAUCGUAAAACUCUGUUAUUAGGGAAGAACAAAUGUGUAAGUAACUAUGCACGUCUUGACGGUACCUAAUCAGAAAGCCACGGCUAACUACGUG
rnacentral:rRNA from 1 species